rnacentral:rRNA from 1 species
UGAGGAAUAUUGGGCAAUGCCCGAAAGGGUGACCCAGCAACGCCGCGUGGAGGAUGAAGGUCGUAAGAUUGUAAACUCCUGUUAGAGGGGAAGAGUAACUAAGUUUGGAGCUUAGUAUGACUGUACCCUCAGAGAAAGCCCCGGCUAACUACGUGCCAGCAGCCGCGGUAAUACGUAGGGGGCAAGCGUUGUCCGGAUUUACUGGGUGUAAAGAGCGCGCAGGCGGAAUGGAAAGUCAGUGGUGAAAUCCUACAGCUUAACUGUAGAACUGCCUUUGAUACUUUUAUUCUUGAGUUCGGGAGAGAGAGACGGAAUUCCAGGUGUAGUGGUGAAAUACGUAGAUAUCUGGAAGAACACCAGUUGCGAAGGCGGUCUCUUGGUCCGACACUGACGCUGAGGCGCGAAAGCGUGGGGAGCAAACA